rnacentral:rRNA from 1 species
UGGGGAAUAUUGCACAAUGGGGGAAACCCUGAUGCAGCGACGCCGCGUGAAGGAAGAAGUAUUUCGGUAUGUAAACUUCUAUCAGCAGGGAAGAAAAUGACGGUACCUGACUAAGAAGCCCCGGCUAACUACGUGCCAGCAGCCGCGGUAAUACGUAGGGGGCAAGCGUUAUCCGGAUUUACUGGGUGUAAAGGGAGCGUAGGCGGUGCAGCAAGUCAGAAGUGAAAGCCCGGGGCUCAACUCCGGGACUGCUUUUGAAACUGUUGAACUAGAUUGCAGGAGAGGUAAGUGGAAUUCCUAGUGUAGCGGUGAAAUGCGUAGAUAUUAGGAGGAACACCAGUGGCGAAGGCGGCUUACUGGACUGUAAAUGACGCUGAGGCUCGAAAGCGUGGGGAGCAAACAGG